rnacentral:sRNA from 1 species
GUUGCCCGUCAUCAUCUGAGUAUGUCGAGAUAGGAUUUGCACAUGCCUCGCACCACUGUAGAAUAGACCAUAGAAGUGUAAUUCCUUCAAGCACGAAGUGAAAAUGUACCUCAAUGUUAAGGCUAAUUUAGCCCCACAAACCAACGGCAAACGGAGUCAUCUGCAAAAAUCAAUCCUCGAGUUAUCAUGGCAAAAGCGGGAUGCUGCAUAGUUGGUCUCGUUGGUACCUAAAAUUAUGUAGCUAGUACCGAUGUUGACCAGCGAGAGUACCGUAUCGGCCAGGAUGUUCACUGAACGUGAAAAGUGCAAAUCCAAAAAGAUUUAUCCGCUCUAUGUCUUCAGCCCAUGGGAACCGUGCUGAAGAUUGUGUCCAUGAAAAAUAAAAGGUCCCAUCCCUGUAAAACGCCGUACCAAACCCAGUUUGCCCAUUCAUCCAAUAAUUGAAUAGUUUCGUGCGUAGGUAAUGUUCCUGCUAGAUAUUUCCUCGUUUUUCCCUCCACUUCUUCAGUCUCCGUUUUAUGUCCCCCUCCGUUUGUUGCAUGGGGUUCAAUCUCGUAUCCCUAACCAUGGCAAUGAUAUUAUCGCCAUGCUUUGCCACCAGUCUCUCUAACCAUUCCUCCUCACGCUUACUCUGCUGUCUAGGCUGCUUCUUCUUCAACGCCUCCUCUUCCAAAGCAGCCUGACGCUCCAGCGCUUGAACCACUGCCGACGACGACGUGCUUCCAUGAAUUCUCAAAGCUGUAUUAUUAAGGACAUCAUCCCCAAGUUCAUUGAGCGGAUCUUCUAGCGGAUUUGCUCUCCGAUGCUUUCUUCCAGCAAUUUCCACCUCCUCGGUUUCGUUCUCAGGGUGGAUCACGCGGAGAAUCUUCCCCGUUGCCGGAUCUCGUUCGACACGCAUCUCCGCAGGUGUUAUCAUCUUCACACUUGUCAGGGAGGGUAGGAGAUGUAAAGAGUCUGCUUCCUGCCGGCCAUUUGACUGGUCGUCAGGUUUGUUCUCCGCGCCGCCAGUUGGGGCGUUGAGCUGGGACGCUAAGCCGAGUCGGCGGUAAUUUUGGGUCAGAGUUAAUUUUUUAUCCCAAUUCUGCGCGAUGAUUGCGUUCCCGAGGACAUUGAUUUUCUUGUUGCCAUUUUUCAGGCGGUUGGACUUUUGCUUCACCCUUGGAGCGCCUGAGCGAUUCUUCUUUUUUUGUAGGAUUCGGCCCAUCUCAAAACCAGGGGACUUUAGGGGAGCCAAUUGUAGCUGUUUGUCGUGGCGUUGAAAUAAUUUGUUGAGUAAAUCUGAGAGUCGAUGUUUGCACUAGUUCUUGGCACAUUUGCAUUUCUCCUCACAUGAAUUUUGGGCCAAAAGAGGAAAGAAUGUCACGUGCAGUGCUCGAACCCUACACCACAAUUCGCUUAGCGACUUCUGGCUGCAAUGAAAACUUUCAAUCCAAACGUCCAGCGACAACGACGGCGAUAACGACAAGCGCUUGUAGACGCAGCAUUCCAGUCCCUAAUUCAAGAUGACGAAGGGAACUUCUAGCUUCGGCAAGCGCCAUAACAAGACGCACACCCUGUGCAGACGUUGCGGCCGUCGCUCUCUCCACAUCCAGAAGCACACAUGUUCAUCUUGCGGAUAUCCAUCCGCUAAGACUCGGAAAUACAACUGGGCUGAAAAGUCUUUGCGACGAAGAACCACCGGAAGUGGACGCAUGCGAUAUCUCAAAACGGUCGACCGCAAAUUCAAGAACGGAUUCCAAACCGGUACUCCCAAGGGAGCUCGAGGGCCAGAGAAGCAUUAAGGUCAUGUGUGGGUUGAAAAGACGGCUUCCAACGACAAUUCGGGCUAAGGGUUGAAUUAUUAUUUUCCUUUUCCUUGUGGAUGGCCGGGUUGAUUUCUUGUAACGGCUCAGGCUCAGGGGUGUUUUAACUGUUAUUUUUUUGUUAGCGUGCUAUCAACAUUCGAAAAAAAGAGAAACAACCUAUUUGGCCCAAUGGGAAAUCGCGGGGAUAGAAAAGGAACGUGGCAUGCGCCUUGUGCAUGACUAGUUUAAUGACAUGAUGUCUACAGUCAAUGUGUUUCUUUUAACAUCAACAAUUCUUGUUAGACUUGGAACUUUUUAAGUUGCCCCUACAUGUUAUUCCUCAAUCGGUCCGCUUCAUUAGCCCUCUUUCCUUCUCCAACGGUUUUAUGAUUCAUUCAAUGCUUUCAACAGGGGAUUCAAAUGCUGGACCAAAAUUUACACUGAGUUUAUCCGAAUUUCAAUCCAUGGCCAAUAACUUCACUCGCCUCUCUCGAAUACGCGAACCGCACCAUCUCCUUGUACAAAAUAUAAUACCUCCUUCUCUUCUAAGCCUGAAUAGUCACGGCUCUGCCCUUUAUUUACAAUCCCUACUUCUGGAACCCAUCCACCCCCUCUACUAAUCCGUAGCACUCCGCUGACAUCACCAGCAACACCCGUAUCCAAACCUCUCAGUUGCAUAACCGUCCUAGCUUGAUGCGCCAUCCCCACAACUAAGGAUGCAUGCUCCCUCUCAAGCGGUGUUGGCUGUUGUUGUGUAGACUCGACAGAACCCGAGUGUAUCAGAGGUGAAUCGGCUGCAAGUGUGACAACAGCAGAAUGAACCCGCUGCCGUAAUCCCAACAGAAACUCCCCCAUCUCCACCGCUCCAACUCCCAUUCCCGGACCUGUAGCAGCAAGGAGCAAAUCAGGCUGGUCCACCACAAGGAGUACAUCGUUGUCCACCGACAUUUCAUCCGACGCUCUAUCGUCACUUCUUAAGUCAUUGAUGGCAGAAACAAUCUCCUGCUCCAGCGCAUCUAGUGCUCCGUUUCCCGUACCAGACCAUCGAAGUUUUCUCGACGCAAUGUCGCCAUUCUUCUGUUGGCUAGUUACAGUUGGAGGGCUGGUAGAUGUUGAUCCCCGAGGGGGUAAUACGGUGUGUGGCGGAAUCCGGGUCGGACUUGGUGAACUGCUCGACACUGAACGCCCGGGCACCGGAUCUGGAAAUGUUUGUAUGGGUAAGAAGAGCUCCGAGAUCCCGUCUACGAAAGCGAGUCUGCCUUCUUUUGACAGCCUAGCGAGAUCCAGUCCCUAAGUAGAGGGUCAGAGACACGUAGAAAGGGGCGCGUACGCAAAUUCAUUGACUAGCGGAACAUGCCGCUGUCGAUUUAAUGUAGAGUGUUUACCCAUUCCUCAUUUCAGAACAGCC